rnacentral:rRNA from 1 species
ACUGGUUGAUCCUGCCAGUAGUCAUAUGCUUGUCUCAGAGAUUAAGCCAUGCAUGUCUAAGUACAUACCUUAAAACGGUGAAACCGCGAAUGGCUCAUUAAAUCAGCUAUGGUUCCUUAGAUCGUAAACGCUACAUGGAUAACUGUAGUAAUUCUAGAGCUAAUACAUGCCUUGAAUCCCUGACCCGCAAGGGGACGGGUGCAUUUAUUAGAACAGAACCAACCGGGUGCGGCUUAUGCUGUGCCUGUUACAUUCUGUGAUGACUCUGGAUAACUUUACUGAUCGCAGUCGGCCUUGUGUGUCGGCGACGGAUCUUUCAAAUGUCUGCCCUAUCAAUUUGUUGGUAGGUGAUUUGCCUACCAUGAUGAUAACGGGUAACGGGGAAUCAGGGUUCGAUUCCGGAGAGGGAGCCUGAGACAUGGCUACCACAUCCAAGGACGGCAGCAGGCGCGAAAAUUACCCACUCCCAGCACGGGGAGGUAGUGACGAAAAAUACGGAUACGGGACUCAAUUGAGGCUCCGUAAUUCGAAUGAGUACAAUUUAAAUCCUUUAACGAGGACCAAUUGGAGGGCAAGUCUGGUGCCAGCAGCCGCGGUAACUCCAGCUCCAAAAGCGUAUAUUAAAGUUGCUGCAGUUAAAAAGCUCGUAGUUGGAUCUGGGUAGUGCGAUCGCAUGCUGUUGCUUGUUCACGGUCUUGGUUACGAUCAGGGCAGUGGUCAGCUCGGCGUAGUGGUUGUGCAACCUUUCAGCCGUGUCUGUGUUUUAUUAAACAGGUGUCGAUGGGUUAAUGAGUAUUGUAUCUUAUUGACCUGUUGGCAUGCUUUCGGAUGCCUUUAAACGGGUGUCGGGGGCGGACGGCAUCUUUACUUUGAACAAAUUUGAGUGCUCAAAGCAGGCCUAUGCGCCUGAAAAUUCUUGCAUGGAAUAAUGAAAUAGGACUUCGGUUCUAUUUUGUUGGUUUUCGGAUCCGAAGUAAUGGUUAAGAGGGACAGACGGGGGCAUUUGUAUGCCGGUGUUAGAGGUGAAAUUCUGGGAUCGCCGCCAGACAAACUACAGCGAAAGCAUUUGCCAAGAAUGUUUUCAUUGAUCAGGAGCGAAAGUCAGAGUUUCGAAGACGAUCAGAUACCGUCGUAGUUCUGACCAUAAACGAUGCCAACUGACGAUCCGCGUUGGUUCUAUAAUUGACAUCGCGGGCAGUCCCCGGGAAACCUUUAAGUCUUUGGGCUCCGGGGGGAGUAUGGUUGCAAAGCUGAAACUUAAAGGAAUUGACGGAAGGGCACCACCAGGAGUGGAGCCUGCGGUUUAAUUCGACUCAACACGGGAAAACUCACCCGGCCCGGACACUGUGAGGAUUGACAGAUUGAAAGCUCUUUCUUGAUUCGGUGGUUGGUGGUGCAUGGCCGUUCUUAGUUGGUGGAGCGAUUUGUCUGGUUAAUUCCGAUAACGAACGAGACUUUAACCUACUAAAUAGUAGACUGGUCCUCUGUGCUCGUUCAGGGCGCGGCUUCUACUGCUUCUUUAUGGAGUAGUGUGGUCGUGAUCCGACGGGUGCGGUGCCAGUUUUUACUUC